GUAACUUCAGGGUUGUGCCAGGGAAGGGUGUCGAGUCCUUUACUGUUCGUAUUGUAUAUUAAUGCGAUUGCAGACAAUAUUAAUACUUAUCUCAGACUUUCGCAGGUGGUGCAGUUAUCUGUGAUGAAGUACUGUCUGGAAGAAGGUGCAUAAAUAUUGUCAGCUAUUGAUAAGAUAGCAAAGUGUUGCGAAGAUUGACAACUUGCUCUAAAUGUUCAGAAAGAUGGAACCAAGGGUAGAUAGUGGCCUCCGAGCUGUUUCUUUACUUACAUCUGUACCUUUGUUGAAUUACAUUAUCAUAGUGCAAGUUGGUCAUACAAUUUUGAUGCAAAAGUGAACCUGAAAACAUGAUAAAAUGUGGACGUCUCUGGAGAAAGCUCAGUGUGUGGGGCCUGGUAGAUACAGACGAUACCUGAUACCCAAAUGCAACAAACCUUUCAGACUUGGAAUACAUCAUUUAUGGAAACAGGUAGUGUUCUCCAUAAAAAAAACAGGGCUGGUCACCACGAGUUUCAGAUGCCAUUGUGGACAGGGUAUGGCAGGCGUUUGCAAGGAGUUCUAUAAAAUCUGUAUGUACUGCAGCCAGGGAGUUGGAAAUGAGAAGAUCGACAUGGCACAAUCUCUUGCAUAAGAGGAGUUCCUGUUACAUAUACAGCACUUGACACUGCUUGUGAGAAAACAUUAUUAAUCAGCAUUGAUGGUGAACUUGGUCCCUAGCACCCACUAGUGGGCGUCUCCACUUCCAUAGCAGGCAGUAGACAGUUGGACCCUAAAAUAUUUAUAUUAGGGUUUCACAAAACUUUGAAAAAAAUAUUUGGUCAUACAAUUUUGAUGCGAAAUGGAACCUGAAAACCUGCUAAAAUGUGGAUACCAGUGGAUAAAGCUCAAUGUGUGUGGCCUGGUAUAUACAGAUGAUAUCAGAUACCGAAGUGCAAUGAUCCUUUCGGACAUGGAAUACAUCAUUUAUGGAAACAGUGCUCACAAGACAUUUACAGUGGGGUGUGCAGUUGAGAACAGUUCUCCAUCUACCCCUCAGCGCGCACCAGAAUUAUUCAAAGUGGGGCACUCUGCCAAUUCUAAGAAGCAGGCCAAAGAUGUCCUGGUAAGCAGCACAUUGUCAAUGCUGCGAGACAAACAAACAGCAAUGAAUGGGAGCAAUGAGGAUGACAAGUUGGGCGAAUAUGUUGCAGCUGAGCUGAUAACAACUAAAAAUAGAAAAUUAAAUGCAGAGGCAAAGUGAAUGUUAUCAUGAAUGCCAUCAU